AUUAUAACCUGUGAAUAAGGUGUCUGAUGAGACUUAAAAGGGAAUCCGGUGAGAAUCCGGAGCUGUCCCCGCAACUGUAUGUGCUGACGAAAUAAGGAACUGCCACUGUCGUAUCGAUGGGAAGGCCUUAGAGUAGGGUGAAGCGCGAGUCAGGAGACCUGCCUUAUUUAACACGUGUUA
rnacentral:ncRNA from 2 species